UACGGAGGGGGCUAGCGUUGUUCGGAAUUACUGGGCGUAAAGCGUGCGCAGGCGGUUUUGUAAGUCUGACGUGAAAUCCCCGGGCUCAACCUGGGAAUUGCGUUGGAGACUGCAAGGCUGGAGUCUGGCAGAGGGGGGUAGAAUUCCACGUGUAGCAGUGAAAUGCGUAGAGAUGUGGAGGAACACCGAUGGCGGAAGGCAGCCCCCUGGGCUA
rnacentral:rRNA from 1 species